rnacentral:rRNA from 1 species
AUUGAACGCUGGCGGCAUGCUUUACACAUGCAAGUCGAACGGCAGCGCGGGGCUACCUGGCGGCGAGUGGCGCACGGGUGUGUAUUACACCGGAACGAACCCAGACGCGGGGGGUAACGUAGCGAAAGUUACGCUAAUACUGCAUACGUUCUACGGAAGAAAGCGGGGUACCUUCGUGCCUCAUGUAUUUGGAGCGGCCGAUGUCUGCUUAGCUAGUUGGUGAGGUAAAGGCUCACCAAGGCGACGAUCAGUAGCGGGUCUGAGAGGACGAGCAGCCACACUGGGACUGAGACACGGCCCAGACGCCUAGGGGAGGCGGCAGUGGGGAAUUUUGGACAAUGGGCGGAAGCCUGAUCCAGCAAUGCCGCGUGAGUGAAGAAGGCCUUCGGGUUGUAAAGCUAUGUUGUCAGGGAAGAAACGGCUGAGGAUAAUACCUUCGGCUAAUGACGGUACCUGAAGAAUAAGCACCGGCUAACUACGUG